rnacentral:rRNA from 1 species
AACGUAGGACGCGAGCGUUAUCCGGAGUUACUGGGCGUAAAGCGCGGGCAGGCGGUCUGACAAGUCUGAUGUGAAAUCUCCGGGCUUAACCGGGAGAGGCCAUUGGAAACUGACAGGCUGGAGGGCAGUAGAGGUAGGCGGAAUUCCGGGUUGAGUGGUGAAAUGCGUAGAGAUCCGGAGGAACACCAGAGGCGAAGGCGGCGUUCUGGCUCGCAACUGACGCUCAGGUACGAAAGCGUGGGGAGCAAACAGG